rnacentral:rRNA from 1 species
UCCGUAGGUGAACCUGCGGAGGGAUCAUUACCGAGUUUACAACUCCCAAACCCCUGUGAACAUACCACUUGUUGCCUCGGCGGAUCAGCCCGCUCCCGGUAAAACGGGACGGCCCGCCAGAGGACCCCUAAACUCUGUUUCUAUAUGUAACUUCCGAGUAAAACCAUAAAUAAAUCAAAACUUUCAACAACGGAUCUCUUGGUUCUGGCAUCGAUGAAGAACGCAGCAAAAUGCGAUAAGUAAUGUGAAUUGCAGAAUUCAGUGAAUCAUCGAAUCUUUGAACGCACAUUGCGCCCGCCAGUAUUCUGGCGGGCAUGCCUGUUCGAGCGUCAUUUCAACCCUCAAGCACAGCUUGGUGUUGGGACUCGCGUUAAUUCGCGUUCCUCAAAUUGAUUGGCGGUCACGUCGAGCUUCCAUAGCGUAGUAGUAAAACCCUCGUUACUGGUAAUCGUCGCGGCCACGCCGUUAAACCCCAACUUCUGAAUGUUGACCUCGGAUCAGGUAGGAAUACCCGCUGAACUUAAGCAUAUCAAUAAGCGGAGGA